rnacentral:rRNA from 1 species
AGAGUUUGAUCAUGGCUCAGGACGAACGCUGGCGGCGUGCUUAACACAUGCAAGUCGAACGGGGAUACAUUGGAUGAGAGCUUCGGCAGGAAUCCGGUGUAUUCCAGUGGCGGACGGGUGAGUAACGCGUGAGCAAUUUGUCCCGGACAGGGGGAUAACAUUUGGAAACGGUGCUAAUACCGAAUAAGACUACGGUAGGAUAUUCUAGAGAGGUAAAAGGUGCAAACCGGUUUGGGGUGAGCUCGCGUCCGAUUAGAUAGUUGGUGAGGUAACGGCCCACCAAGUCGACGAUCGGUAGCCGACCUGAGAGGGUGAUCGGCCACAUUGGAACUGAGACACGGUCCAGACUCCUACGGGAGGCAGCAGUGGGGAAUAUUGCACAAUGGGCGCAAGCCUGAUGCAGCAACGCCGCGUGAAGGAAGAAGGCCUUUGGGUCGUAAACUUCUGUCCUUAGGGAAGAUAAUGACGGUACCUUUGGAGGAAGCCCCGGCUAACUCCGUGCCAGCAGCCGCGGUAAUACGGAGGGGGCGAGCGUUAUCCGGAAUCAUUGGGCGUAAAGGGUGCGUAGGCGGUCUUUUAAGCGCGAGGUUUAAGGCUACGGCUUAACCGUAGUUCGCCUUGCGAACUGGAGGACUUGAGUGCUGGAGAGGAAAGCGGAAUUCCUAGUGUAGCGGGUGAAAUGSGUAGAUAUUAGGAGRAMMMCMMKKSSSRMAGGCGGCUUUCUGGACAGUAACUGACGCUGCAGGCACGAMAGCGUGRGSAGCAAACAGGAUUAGAUACCCUGGUAGUCCACGCCGUAAACGAUGAGCACUARGUGUCGGGUACGCAAGUAUUCGGUGCCGCAGUUAACGCAUUACGUACCCCGCCUGCGGAGUACGGCCGCACGGCUUAAACUCAAAGGAAUUGACGGAGGCCCGCACACGCGGCCGAGUAUGUGGUUUAAUUGGACGCAACGCGAAGAACCUUACCAGAGCUUGACAUCGACUGAAAGAUGCAGAGAUGUAUCCCUCUCUUCGGAGACAGGAAGACAGGUGGUGCAUGGCUGUCGUCAGCUCGUGUCGUGAGAUGUUGAGUUCAGUCCCGCAACGAGCGCAACCCCUAUCCUAUGUUACCAUCAUUGAGUUGGGGACUCAUAGGAGACUGCCAGGGACAACCUGGAGGCAGGCGCGGAUGACGUCAAGUCAUCAUGCCCCUUAUGUCCUGGGCUACACACGUACUACAAUGGCCGGCAACAGAGGGAAGCGAAACCGCGAGGCGGAGCGAAUCCCAAAAACCCGGUCCCAGUUCGGAUCGCAGGCUGCAACCCGCCUGCGUGAAGUCGGAAUCGCUAGUAAUCGCAGGUCAGCAUACUGCGGUGAAUACGUUCCCGGGCCUUGUACACACCGCCCGUCACACCACGAAAGUUGGUAACACCCGAAGCCGGUGGGGUAACCGUAAGGAGCCAGCCGUCUAAGGUGGGGCCGAUGAUUGGGGUGAAGUCGUAACAAGGUAACCGUA